UACGGGGGGGGCAAGCGUUGUUCGGAAUUACUGGGCGUAAAGGGCUCGUAGGCGGCCAACUAAGUCAGACGUGAAAUCCCCAGGCUUAACCUGGGAACUGCGUCUGAUACUGGAUGGCUUGAGAUUGGGAGAGGGAUGCGGAAUUCCAGGUGUAGCGGUGAAAUGCGUAGAUAUCUGGAGGAACACCGGUGGCGACGGCGACAUCCUGGACCAACACUGACGCUGAGGAGCGAAAGCCAGGGGAGCAAACGGG
rnacentral:rRNA from 1 species